AAAUUGUAUAGAAAUAAGUAUGCCAAGUAAAAUAAAUCAAGAUUUAAAUUUUUGCCAUGCACAUUUUUCUGUUUUGUGGCAUACGUAUAUUUUCACGCUUGAAUUCAAGCAGUUUAAUAAAGAAGUCUUACCUCUCGCUAUGCCCCAAUUUUUUUUUAUUUUAACCUUCAGAGACAUGUUCCCAAACCAACUACCACUUUCUUUGUGUGCCUUGUUGCCUUUGUUCAUCACACAUUGCAAACCUCUUGUGGACGCUGGUCAACAUUAUGCCCAGGCAGAGAUCCUGGAUGGCGGGUUUUAUUAAAGAGGAUACAGUAUAUACUAAGUGGGAUGAGGUCACAACUUCAAAAAUGAAAGAACCUAUUCCGAACAAAGAUCCUUUUUUUUUUCUUUUUUUUUU